rnacentral:rRNA from 1 species
UGCAAGUCGAACGAACUUCCGUUAAUUGAUUAUGACGUACUUGUACUGAUUGAGAUUUUAACACGAAGUGAGUGGCGAACGGGUGAGUAACACGUGGGUAACCUGCCCAGAAGUAGGGGAUAACACCUGGAAACAGAUGCUAAUACCGUAUAACAGAGAAAACCGCAUGGUUUUCUUUUAAAAGAUGGCUCUGCUAUCACUUCUGGAUGGACCCGCGGCGUAUUAGCUAGUUGGUGAGGUAAAGGCUCACCAAGGCAGUGAUACGUAGCCGACCUGAGAGGGUAAUCGGCCACAUUGGGACUGAGACACGGCCCAGACUCCUACGGGAGGCAGCAGUAGGGAAUCUUCCACAAUGGACGCAAGUCUGAUGGAGCAACGCCGCGUGAGUGAAGAAGGGUUUCGGCUCGUAAAGCUCUGUUGUUAAAGAAGAACGUGGGUAAGAGUAACUGUUUACCCAGUGACGGUAUUUAACCAGAAAGCCACGGCUAACUACGUGCCAGCAGCCGCGGUAAUACGUAGGUGGCAAGCGUUAUCCGGAUUUAUUGGGCGUAAAGCGAGCGCAGGCGGUCUUUUAAGUCUAAUGUGAAAGCCUUCGGCUCAACCGAAGAAGUGCAUUGGAAACUGGGAGACUUGAGUGCAGAAGAGGACAGUGGAACUCCAUGUGUAGCGGUGAAAUGCGUAGAUAUAUGGAAGAACACCAGUGGCGAAGGCGGCUGUCUGGUCUGCAACUGACGCUGAGGCUCGAAAG